CUUAUUCUAAUCAACAUCAAAUAGAUGAUGUAGUUGAAAAAAAAAUGUCUUAUAACUUAUGAGCAAAUUUUCUGUGGCAGAAAAAAGAAAUUGUAUUGACCAGAACAUUUACGCGGUGAUCGGAAAAAGCAGUCCAAACUCCAAAUCAAUGUCAAUGUUCACAUUCACCUAUGAAAUCAAAGUGAAAAGUCAUUGCUAGUCAAAGUUAAAUAACAAACAAAUCAAAGGGAGAGGCAUCAAUAUGCAAAUGUCUCAAAAAGCCACAAUAUGCAAAUGAAAAAGAAGUGAAGGUUCGGACAAAUGUACAACACAGGUUCUUGGAAUCCCUUGCAGAUUUGGUGAUCGGUGUCGAGCUAAUUCAUGUAAAAUCAUAAUUAAUUCAAAAGAUUACCAUUUACUUUGCUCUCUUUCCUUCAGCAUCUCCUCAACCAAACAAAGGAAAGGAAAAACUUGAGUUUCCUUCUUCUCUUCCCUCAUCCAUUCCUCAAAUUCUCCAUUUCGUCUGUAUUCUUUCCUUCAAAUUAGAGAUCAAAGUUUAAAAUCCUUGACUGAAUCAUUAUUCAACUCUAUUCAACUAAAUUGGCAUCAAAGAAGAAUCUAGCUUGCACUUGAGACUAAGCCUUUAAAAAAAAUAAGUGAAAAUUCAAAAGCUAGAUUGAACUUGCAAAUUGGUUUCAAUUUAUGUAUCAGACCACUUGGAUUCGAUGUAGUUGCUAUAUGAGCGCAACAACAAAAAUGAGUUAACUCACAAGUAGUCCACAUUGAAUUGAGACUAAUCCCAAAGUUCAUUGACAUGUACUUCAAUAUUACAUCACGUGUGUUAUUAGUUUACAAUACAAUACAUCACAUUCAAGAAAUCUGUCUUUCUUAUUUAAUAAUUGACCUGGACUUGAUAGUUUUGGCAAAGGGAGGCAGCAAGCUUGAGGCAACAACUACAGUACUUGCAAGACUACCACAGGUACUCAAAACCUCCACUAAUUCAUUGCUAAAACACUCUCAAAAAUAUUUCAACUUGUAGAUUUAAUGCAAGAAGUUAACUAAUUUUGUAGAUAAUACAAUACUUUUAUCUUUCUAAAUUUGCUAAGAAUUACAUAAAUGAAUCAUGCCCCAACAUCAAAAUUUUUUAGUAGUAACAAAUGGAUUACUGUACUCAUUUUAGAACUAGAUUUCAAUGUUCAAUUAUACUUCCCUUCCUUAAAGAUACAAGUAUUGGGCUAAACAAGGCCAGGUCUAUGAUUUAUUUUCAACAGGGAUAAGGUGAUAUGUAAUAUUAAAUAUACCAAAUACUCUACCACAAUCACAAACUAUCAAAAAUCAAAGAAAAGAAUUGCUCACCUGAAUAUGUUUUAACUUUGCAAGAAAGAAACUGUGCUCCAUUCCAACCCCUUGUUUCUUUUUCUUUUUUUUUUCAUAGAUUUACAUGUCUUUGUUCUUUUUUCUACUGAAUCUUCUUUUACUUUCGUUAUGGUGUACAACUUUUUUUAAUGGAAAGAACAAGUCAGGUGUUGUUCUGUAGUUUUUUAAAGCUUUGAAAAGUCCCAUAUCAGUCUUUCCUAUUUUACAUGUCAUAACAGCCUAUUAAUUUGCAAAGUACCUAUUAGAAUACUGAUUAUUUUCAAUGUUAAUAAUGAAGCAAUAUGUAUUUUUAUCAUUUUUUCAAUUUAAAUGGCGGCAAAAUAUAAUCUUUAAACUUUUAAACUAUUUUUAUAGUAUGACCAAAGAGACAUUAGGAUUUCAGUGGGGCCAAAUUCUAAAUUUGAAGUCUUCUCUAGACUUUAGUAAUCAAUAACAUUGGACAUGCAUUAGCUUAAAUAACAUCUGACUCAGGCAAUUGAUGGGAGAAGAACUAUCUGGUUUAAGUGUUAAGGAUCUACAGCACCUGGAAAACCAACUUGAAGGGAGCUUGAAAGGUGUCCGCACAAAAAAGGUAUGAUAGCUUCAGAUUUGGAUGAAAUUAUGCCCAUGAUAUUUAAGAUCAGAGAUGAUAAUAUUUACUGCAACUGCUCCUAUGUUGUUGUUCUUCCUCUAGGAACAAAUCCUAACAGACGAAAUCAAAGAGCUAAACCACAAGGUUUCUUUGAAAGUUCUGCCGCAGAUUUUCUUUUUCCAGAUUUACAUUCAUGGAUAUUUUUUGGUCAAGUAACUUCAAUUUAUUGAAUUGCAGGGACACCUUAUUCAUCAGGAGAAUCUAGAACUGUAUAAGAAAGUAGACCUCAUCCACCAACAAAAUACUGAACUUCAAAAGAAGGUAGUUGCCUAGAUAAUUUGAUAAAUAUCCCUUAUUCACCUCAUCCUUCCUCCUUUUACCUUUAUUAAUAAAAUGGAAGUUUACCACCAAGCCAGUACAAUGCUCUUGAAAUUUAACCAAAUGAAAAGUUUUCCUCCUGAUACUCUAAACAGCACAAUUGUUGGGUUUCAGAUUUAUGGAACAAGAGAAGCAAAUGAAGCUAGUAGAAUCUCCCACCCAAAUUAUACUUUCAACAAUGGAUAUGAUUUGCACGCACCUGUUCGUCUGCAGUUAAGCCAGCCCCAACCUCCUAAGAAUAAUGCACCAGCAAAAUCAAUGAAGUUGGGGUAAUUCUUCCACUCAAUACUGUUUUAAAAA
rnacentral:lncRNA from 1 species